CUCCUUUGACGUUAGCGGCGGACGGGUGAGUAACACGUGGGUAACCUACCUAUAAGACUGGGAUAACUUCGGGAAACCGGAGCUAAUACCGGAUAAUACUUCGAACCGCAUGGUUCGAUAGUGAAAGGUGGUUUUGCUAUCACUUAUAGAUGGACCCGCGCCGUAUUAGCUAGUUGGUAAGGUAACGGCUUACCAAGGCGACGAUACGUAGCCGACCUGAGAGGGUGAUCGGCCACACUGGAACUGAGACACGGUCCAGACUCCUACGGGAGGCAGCAGUG
rnacentral:rRNA from 1 species